rnacentral:misc_RNA from 1 species
AACGCACGAGACCUGCGGACCUGCGGAGGGAUCAUUACAGGGUUAUGCCGGGGAUAUGUUUUUCUGCUCUUUUUGAGUUGAAAUCUAUCCCGGCAGCCAUGAUCAUCUCUUUGUGCAUAUAUUGAUAACCGAGGGCUUUUUGUGGCAGACCUCAAAAAUCUGUCAUAAAUCCCUCUAAUAAACUUUUUUUUUACUUUGACUGAAAUUUUGUUAUUUGAUAAUAAAUACAACUUUCAGCAA